rnacentral:rRNA from 1 species
AGAGUUUGAUCAUGGCUCAGAAUCAACGCUGGCGGCAUGCCUAACACAUGCAAGUCGAGCGAGAAAGUGUAGCAAUACAUGAGUAAAGCGGCGCACGGGUGAGUAACACGUGGAUAACCUGCCUCAAAGUGGGGAAUAACCCCGGGAAACCGGAGCUAAUACCGCAUAUUCUAAUGCGAUCUGUGGAUCGCGUUAGCAAAGGAGCAAUUCGCUUUGAGAGGGGUCCGCGGCUGAUUAGCUAGUUGGUGAGGUAAUGGCUCACCAAGGCUUCGAUCAGUAGCCGGUCUGAGAGGACGGUCGGCCACACUGGAACUGAGACACGGUCCAGACUCCUACGGGAGGCAGCAGUGGGGAAUUUUUCGCAAUGGGGGAAACCCUGACGAAGCAAUGCCGCGUGGAUGAUGAAGUAUCUCGGUACGUAAAAUCCUUUCGACAGGGACGAAGCCGCAAGGUUGACGGUACCUUAGAAGA